UACGUAUGGGGCAAGCGUUGUUCGGAAUUAUUGGGCGUAAAGGGCGUCUAGGCGGGGAAUUAAGUUAGGUGUGAAAUCCAUGGGCUCAACCCGUGAACUGCACCUAAAACUGGUUCUCUUGAGUUCGGGAGAGGAGAGCGGAAUUCCAGGUGUAGCGGUGAAAUGCGUAGAUAUCUGGAAGAACACCAGUGGCGAAGGCGGCUCUCUGGCCUAGAACUGACGCUGAAGCGCGAAAGCGUGGGGAGCGAACAGG
rnacentral:rRNA from 1 species